rnacentral:rRNA from 1 species
GAUGAACGCUAGCGGCAGGCUUAACACAUGCAAGUCGAGGGGCAGCAUGACGAAACCUUCGGGUUUUGUUGAUGGCGACCGGCGCAAGGGUGCGUAACGCGUGAGCAACUUGCCCUUAUCAGGGGGAUAACCGGUGGAAACGCCGACUAAUACCCCAUAGUAUUGGCUUUAGGCAUCUUUAGUCAAUUAAAGAAUUUCGGAUAAGGAUAGGCUCGCGUGACAUUAGCUAGAUGGCGGGGUAACGGCCCACCAUGGCAACGGAUGUCUAGGGGUUCUGAGAGGAUGAACGGCCACAUUGGGACUGAGAUACGGCCCAGACUCCUACGGGAGGCAGCAGUGGGGAAUAUUGGGCAAUGGGGGAAACCCUGACCCAGCAACGCCGCGUGAAGGAAGAAGGCCUUC